AGCAGCCGCGGUAAUUCCAGCUCCAAUAGCGUAUAUUAAAGUUGUUGCAGUUAAAAAGCUCGUAGUUGAAUUUCGGGGUUCUUCCGUUGGUCGGGCUAUCCAGUCUGUACUAGCGUGUAGAAUUCCUACCUUCUGGGGGAACCAUCAUGUUAUUAAUUUAGCGUGGUGGGAAACCAGGACCUUUACCUUGAAAAAAUUAGAGUGUUCAAAGCAGGCUUACGUCUGAAUACAUUAGCAUGGAAUAAUAGAAUAGGACGGUGGUCCUGUUUUGUUGGUUUCUGAAUCACCGUAAUGAUUAAUAGGGAUAGUUGGGGGCAUUAGUAUUCAAUUGUCAGAGGUGAAAUUCUUGGAUUUAUUGAAGACUAACUUCUGCGAAAGCAAUUUGCCAAGGAUGUUUUCAUUAAUCAAGAACGAAAGUUAGGGGAUCGAAGACGAUCAGAUACCGUCGUAGUCUUAACCAUAAACUAUAGCCGACUAGGGAUCGGACGAUGUUAAAUUUAUUGACUCGUUCGGCGCCUUA
rnacentral:rRNA from 1 species